GGAGAGGUGCCAGAGUGGUUGAAUGGAACAGUCUUGAAAACUGUCGUGCCUUAACGGGUACCGAGGGUUCGAAUCCCUCCCUCUCCGCGA
rnacentral:tRNA from 1 species